GUGAAACAUCUCAGUACCCUUAGGAAAAGAAAUCAAUUGAGAUUCCCUCAGUAGCGGCGAGCGAACGGGGAUCAGCCCAUUAAGUUAUGUGUGUUUUAGUGGAACGCUCUGGGAAGUGCGAACGUAGAGGGUGAUAUUCCCGUACACGAAAGGGCACACAUAAUGAUGACGAGUAGGGCGAGGCACGUGAAACCUUGUCUGAAUAUGGGGGGACCAUCCUCCAAGGCUAAAUACUCCUGACUGACCGAUAGUGAACCAGUACCGUGAGGGAAAGGCGAAAAGAACCCCUGUGAGGGGAGUGAAAUAGAUCCUGAAACCGCAUGCAUACAAGCAGUGGGAGCACCUUCGUGGUGUGACUGCGUACCUUUUGUAUAAUGGGUCAGCGACUUAUAUUCAGUAGCGAGGUUAACCGUAUAGGGGAGCCGUAGAGAAAUCGAGUCUUAAUAGGGCGUUUAGUUGCUGGGUAUAGACCCGAAACCAGGCGAUCUAUCCAUGAGCAGGUUGAAGGUUGGGUAACACUAACUGGAGGACCGAACCCACUGUCGUUGAAAAGCCAGGGGAUGACUUGUGGAUAGGGGUGAAAGGCUAAUCAAGCCUGGUGAUAGCUGGUUCUCCCCGAAAGCUAUUUAGGUAGCGCCUCGGACGAAUACCAUAGGGGGUAGAGCACUGUUUCGGCUAGGGGGUCAUCCCGACUUACCAAACCGAUGCAAACUCCGAAUACCUAUGAGUACUAUCCGGGAGACAGACUGCGGGUGCUAACGUCCGUAGUCAAGAGGAAAACAAUCCAGACCGCCAGCUAAGGCCCCAAAAUCAUAGUUAAGUGGGAAACGAUGUGGGAAGGCAUAGACAGCUAGGAGGUUGGCUUAGAAGCAGCCACCCUUUAAAGAAAGCGUAAUAGCUCACUAGUCGAGUCGGCCUGCGCGGAAGAUGUAACGGGGCUAAAACUAUGUGCCGAAGCUGCGGAUGUAUACUUUGUAUACGUGGUAGGGGAGCGUUCUGUAAGCCGAUGAAGGUGUGUUGAGAAGCAUGCUGGAGGUAUCAGAAGUGCGAAUGCUGACGUGAGUAACGACAAAACGGGUGAAAAACCCGUUCGCCGAAAGACCAAGGGUUCCAGUCCAACGUUAAUCGGGGCUGGGUGAGUCGACCCCUAAGGCGAGGCCGAAAGGCGUAGUCGAUGGGAAAAUGGUUAAUAUUCCAUUACUUCUGUGUAAUGCGAUGAGAGGACGGAGAAGGCUAAAUCAGCCUGGCGUUGGUUGUCCAGGUGAAAGGAUGUAGGCAUGUAUCUUAGGCAAAUCCGGGGUACUCUAUGCUGAGAUCUGAUAGCAAGCUGUACUUGUACAGCGAAGUGGUUGAUGCCAUGCUUCCAGGAAAAGUCUCUAAGCUUCAGUUACACAGGAAUCGUACCCGAAACCGACACAGGUGGUCAGGUCGAGUAGACCAAGGCGCUUGAGAGAACUCUGCUGAAGGAACUAGGCAAAAUGGUACCGUAACUUCGGGAGAAGGUACGCUGUUGUUGGUGAUGGAACUCGCUUCCUGAGCUGACGACAGCCGCAGAAACCAGGCCGCUGCAACUGUUUAUUAAAAACAUAGCACUCUGCAAACACGAAAGUGGACGUAUAGGGUGUGAUGCCUGCCCGGUGCUGGAAGGUUAAUUGAUGGGGUUAGCGUAAGCGAAGCUCUUGAUCGAAGCCCCAGUAAACGGCGGCCGUAACUAUAACGGUCCUAAGGUAGCGAAAUUCCUUGUCGGGUAAGUUCCGACCUGCACGAAUGGCAUAAUGAUGGCGGCGCUGUCUCCAGCAGAGGCUCAGUGAAAUCGAAAUCGCUGUGAAGAUGCAGUGUACCCGCGGCUAGACGGAAAGACCCCGUGAACCUUUACUGCAGCUUGACACUGAACUUUGACCUUACUUGUGUAGGAUAGGUGGGAGGCUUUGAAGCUGGAACGCUAGUUCCAGUGGAGCCGUCCUUGAAAUACCACCCUGGUAAUGUUGAGGUUCUAACUCUGUCCCGUGAUCCGGGACGAGGACCGUGUCUGGUGGGUAGUUUGACUGGGGCGGUCUCCUCCUAAAGAGUAACGGAGGAGUACGAAGGUGCGCUCAGCGUGGUCGGAAAUCACGCGUAGAGUAUAAAGGCAAAAGCGCGCUUAACUGCGAGACCCACAAGUCGAGCAGGUACGAAAGUAGGUCUUAGUGAUCCGGUGGUUCUGUAUGGAAGGGCCAUCGCUCAACGGAUAAAAGGUACUCUGGGGAUAACAGGCUGAUACCGCCCAAGAGUUCAUAUCGACGGCGGUGUUUGGCACCUCGAUGUCGGCUCAUCUCAUCCUGGGGCUGAAGCAGGUCCCAAGGGUAUGGCUGUUCGCCAUUUAAAGAGGUACGCGAGCUGGGUUUAGAACGUCGUGAGACAGUUCGGUCCCUAUCUACCGUGGGCGCUGGAAAUUUGAGAGGAUCUGCUCCUAGUACGAGAGGACCAGAGUGGACGAACCUCUGGUGUACCGGUUGUGACGCCAGUCGCAUCGCCGGGUAGCUAUGUUCGGAAGGGAUAACCGCUGAAAGCAUCUAAGCGGGAAGCCUACCUCAAGAUAAGAUUUCCCUAGGACUUUAUGUCCUCUAAAGAGCCGUUCGAGACUAGGACGUUGAUAGGUUGGAUGUGGAAGCAUAGUGAUAUGUGAAGCUGACCAAUACUAAUUGCUCGUGAGGCUUGACUAUACAACACCCAAGCAGUUG
rnacentral:rRNA from 1 species